UAAAAAGGCAUCUUUUUAUUUUUAAAAGACCUUUUUCGGAAGGUAUGCUUAAAGAGGGGCUUGCGUCACAUUAGUUAGUUGGCAGGGUAAAGGCCUACCAAGACUAUGAUGUGUAGCUGGACUGAGAGGUUGAACAGCCACAUUGGGACUGAGACACGGCCCAAACUCCUACGGGAGGCAGCAGUAGGGAAUUUUCGGCAAUGGAGGAAACUCUGACCGAGCAACGCCGCGUGAACGAUGAAGUAUUUCGGUAUGUAAAGUUCUUUUAUUGAAGAAGAAAAAAUAGUGGAAAAACUAUCUUGACGAUAUUCAAUGAAUAAGCCCCGGCAAACUAUGUGCCAGCAGCCGCGGUAAUACAUAGGGGGCGAGCGUUAUCCGGAAUUAUUGGGCGUAAAGGGUGCGUAGGCGGUUUAAUAAGUCUAUAGUUUAAUUUCAGUGCUUAACACUGUCCUGCUAUAGAAACUAUUAGACUAGAGUGAGAUAGAGGCAAGUGGAAUUCCAUGUGUAGCGGUAAAAUGCGUAAAUAUAUGGAGGAACACCAGAGGCGUAGGCGGCUUGCUGGGUCUUUACUGACGCUGAGGCACGAAAGCGUGGGGAGCAAACAGGAUUAGAUACCCUGGUAGUCCACGCCGUAAACGAUGAGUACUAAGUGUCGGGAUUACUCGGUACUGAAGUUAACACAUUAAGUACUCCGCCUGAGUAGUACGUACGCAAGUAUGAAACUUAAAGGAAUUGACGGGACUCCGCACAAGCGGUGGAUCAUGUUGUUUAAUUCGAAGAUACACGAAAAACCUUACCAGGUCUUGACAUACUCUGCAAAGCUAUAGCAAUAUAGUGGAGGUUAUCAGGGAUACAGGUGGUGCAUGGUUGUCGUCAGCUCGUGUCGUGAGAUGUUAGGUUAAGUCCUAAAACGAGCGCAACCCUUGUCAUUAGUUGCCAGCAUGUCAUGAUGGGCACUUUAAUGAGACUGCCAAUGAAAAAUUGGAGGAAGGUGAGGAUCACGUCAAAUCAUCAUGCCCCUUAUGAUCUGGGCUACAAACGUGAUACAAUGGCUGUUACAAAGAGUAGCUGAAACGCAAGUUUAUAGCCAAUCUCAUAAAAGCAGUCUCAGUUCGGAUUGAAGUCUGCAACUCGACUUCAUGAAGUUGGAAUCGCUAGUAAUCGCGAAUCAGCAUGUCGCGGUGAAUACGUUCUCGGG
rnacentral:rRNA from 1 species